rnacentral:other from 1 species
UGAACUCUGCGGAGUGCGUGAUGGUUGGCUAUAUAAACCCACGAAAGAAUAAACGGAAUCCGGGUUCUUCGCCUGUGAGCAGGCCUCCCGCUGCCUUUCUGCGGCGGAUGUUGGAAGCUCUGACGACGGGGACAGGGUGUACCGGCCUUGCCAUAAAGCAGGGUUUCUUAUUGCUGACCACACGGCUCAUGUGGAGUUUAU